ensembl:misc_RNA 7SK 7SK RNA
GGAAGGAGGGUGAUGUGAUUGAGAUGGUAUCACUGGACCGGUCUGGUUGGCUGGAUGGGAUCUUCUCCCUCUCUCAUUUCCAUAUGUCUUCCUCUACAGCUUUGCGAGGAGUCUGUGGAAGGAGAGGUCAUUUCCCAAAGAAGAGGGCCAUACCUGGGUCAAGGAUGGAGAGGUCCAUGCAGUCCUGUACUGAAAUCACAAGGCAAUCUCUCACCUAAAGUGCUUCAAGAGCCUCUGGCUGGUCUCUCUGAAGCCACU